rnacentral:rRNA from 1 species
AGUGAACGCUGGCGGCAGGCUUAACACAUGCAAGUCGAACGGCAGCACAGUACGAGCUUGCUCUUCCCGGUGGCGGGAGGCGGGCGGGUGAGGUAAAUAUCGGAACCUUCUCUUUGGGGUGGGUUAACGUAGGGAAGGUUACGAUAAUAUCGCAUCUGCUGCUCCGGUGGAGGCGGGGGAACUUUGGAGCUUUCGGGGUUGGAUGCGCUGAUGUCGUGCUAGCUAGUUGGCGGGGUGAAGGCCAACCCUGGCGCCGAUCCGUAGCUGGUCUGGGAGGAUGAUCGGCCACACUGGAACUGAGACACGGUCCAGACUCCUACGGGAGGCAGCAGUGGGGAAUAUUGGACAAUGGGCGCAAGCCUGAUCCAGCCAUACCGCGUGUGUGAAGAAGGCCUUCGGGUUGUAAAGCCCUUUUGUGGGGAAAGAAAAGCAGCAGGUUAAGACCCCGCGGUACUGACGGUACCCAAUGAAUAAGCACCGGCUAACUUCGUG